CACGUAGGGCGCAAGCGUUGUCCGGAAUUAUUGGGCGUAAAGAGCUUGUAGGCGGUUUGUCGCGUCUGCUGUGAAAUUUCGGGGCUCAACCCCGAACUUGCAGUGGGUACGGGCAGACUAGAGUGUGGUAGGGGAGACUGGAAUUCCUGGUGUAGCGGUGAAAUGCGCAGAUAUCAGGAGGAACACCGGUGGCGAAGGCGGGUCUCUGGGCCGAAACUGACGCUGAGGAGCGAAAGCGUGGGGAGCAAACAGG
rnacentral:rRNA from 1 species